rnacentral:rRNA from 1 species
CAGUAGCCACGGUAAUGCGGAGGGGGCUAGCGUUGUUCGGAAUUACUGGGCGUAAAGCGCACGUAGGCGGAUCAGAAAGUCAGAGGUGAAAUCCCAGGGCUCAACCUUGGAACUGCCUUUGAAACUCUUGGUCUUGAGGUCGAGAGAGGUGAGUGGAAUUCCGAGUGUAGAGGUGAAAUUCGUAGAUAUUCGGAGGAACACCAGUGGCGAAGGCGGCUCACUGGCUCGAUACUGACGCUGAGGUGUGAAAGCGUGGGGAGCAAACAGGAUUAGAGACCCGCGUAGUCCCUGUCUCUUAUAC